UCUGAGAGGAUGAUCCCCCACACUGGUACUGAGACACGGACCAGACUCCUACGGGAGGCAGCAGUGAGGAAUAUUGGUCAAUGGACGCAAGUCUGAACCAGCCAUGCCGCGUGCAGGAUGAAUGCCCUAUGGGUUGUAAACUGCUUUUCUACAAGAAGAAACUUCCUGAUGUAUCAGGAACUGACGGUAUUGUAGGAAUAAGCAUCGGCUAACUCCGUGCCAGCAGCCGCGGUAAUACGGAGGAUGCAAGCGUUAUCCGGAUUCAUUGGGUUUAAAGGGUGCGUAGGCGGGGUAGUAAGUCAGUGGUGAAAGCCUGCGGCUUAACCGUAGAAUUGCCAUUGAUACUGCUAUUCUUGAGUGCAGUUGAGGUAGGCGGAAUGUGUAAUGUAGCGGUGAAAUGCUUAGAUAUUACACAGAACACCGAUUGCGUAGGCAGCUUACUAAACUGUAACUGACGCUGAGGCACGAAAGCGUGGGGAGCGAACAGGAUUAGAUACCCUGGUAGUCCACGCUGUAAACUAUGAUCACUCGCUGUUGGCGAUACAUUGUCAGCGGCUGAGCGAAAGCAUUAAGUGAUCCACCUGGGGAGUACGGCCGCAAGGUUGAAACUCAAAGGAAUUGACGGGGGCCCGCACAAGCGGUGGAACAUGUGGUUUAAUUCGAUGAUACGCGAGGAACCUUACCUGGGCUUAAAUGCAGAACGACGUACCGGGAAACUGGUACUCCCUUCGGGGCGGACUGCAAGGUGCUGCAUGGUUGUCGUCAGCUCGUGCCGUGAGGUGUCGGGUUAAGUCCCAUAACGAGCGCAACCCUCAUUGUUAGUUGCCAGCGAGUAAUGUCGGGGACUCUAACGAAACUGCCGGUGUAAACCGUGAGGAAGGUGGGGAUGACGUCAAAUCAGCACGGCCCUUAUGUCCAGGGCUACACACGUGUUACAAUGGCCAGUACAAAGGGCAGCUACCACGCGAGUGGAUGCUAAUCUCUAAAGCUGGUCUCAGUUCGGAUUGAAGUCUGCAACUCGACUUCAUGAGGCUGGAAUCGCUAGUAAUCGCGCAUCAGCCAUGGCGCGGUGAUACGUUCCCGGGCCUUGUACACACCGCCCGUCAAGCCAUGGAAGCUUGGGGUACCUGAAGUCCGUAACCGAAAGGAUCGGCCUAGGGUAAACAAGUGACUGGGGCU
rnacentral:rRNA from 1 species